AGAAAAUUCAUAUAUGCUUCCUUAUUUAUGAGACUUUCUAUACAACACAGUGAGGUCAUUCUUUGUUGAUUUAUACCAUGAGGUGCUGGGUGUCAUGUGUUUGAAGAUACCCUAAACCUAACCUAACCUAACCUAACAAAACCCCAAACAGUUACUAUAGGUCUUGGCUCAGAAAAUUUAUAUAUGCUUCCUUACUAAUGAGACUUUCUAUACAACAAAGUGAGGUCAUUCUUUGUUGAUUUAUACCAUGAGGUGCUGGCUGUCAUGUGUUUGAAGAUACCCUAAACCUAACCUAACCUAACCUAACAAAACCCCAAACAGUUACUAUAGGUCUUGACUCAGAAAAUUUAUAUAUGCUUCCUUACUAAUGAGACUUUCUAUACAACAAAGUGAGGUCAUUCUUUGUUGAUUUAUACCAUGAGGUGCUGGCUGUCAUGUGUUUGAAGAUACCCUAAACCUAACCUAACCUAACCUAACAAAACCCCAAACAGUUACUAUAGGUCUUGACUCAGAAAAUUUAUAUAUGCUUCCUUACUAAUGAGACUUUCUAUACAACAAAGUGAGGUCAGUCUUUGUUGAUUUAUACCAUGAGGUGCUGGCUAUCAUGUGUUUGAAGAUACCCUAAACCUAACCUAACCUAACCUAACAAAACACCAAACAGUUACUAUAGGUCUUGACUCAGAAAAUUUAUAUAUGCUUCCUUACUAAUGAGACUUUCUAUACAACACAGUGAGGUCAGUCUUUGUUGAUUUAUACCAUGAGGUGCUGGCUAUCAUGUGUUUGAAGAUACCCUAAACCUAACCUAACCUAACAAAACCCCAAACAGUUACUAUAGGUCUUGACUCAGAAAAUUUAUAUAUGCUUCCUUACUAAUGAGACUU